CGACGGGGAGGUUUGGCACCUCGAUGUCGGCUCAUCGCAUCCUGGAGCUGUAGAAGGUUCCAAGGGUUGGGCUGUUCGCCCAUUAAAGCGGUACGCGAGCUGGGUUCAGAACGUCGUGAGACAGUUUGGUCCCUAUCCGUCGUGGGUGUUGGAAAUUUGAGAGGGUUUGUCCUUAGUACGAGAGGACCGGGAUGAACAAACCGAUGGUGUAUCUGUUAGGUACCAAACCUACGGCAGAGUAGCCAAGUUUGGAAUGGAUAAACGCUGAAAGCAUCUAAGCGUGAAACCAUCCUCAAAACUAGAUUUCCAUAUCAGACCCCUUGCAGACGACAAGGUUGAUAGGUGAGGGAUGUAAGUGUAGUGAUGCAUUUAGUUGACUCAUACUAAUAGGUCGAUAGCUUUUUUAAA
rnacentral:rRNA from 1 species